rnacentral:misc_RNA from 1 species
CUGAGUGAGGGCCCUCGCGGUCCGACCUCCAACCCCAUGUUUUCCGACUCUGUUGCCUCGGGGGCGACCCGGCCCUUUUGGGCGCCGGGGCCCCCGGUGGACCCCUCAACUCUGCAUCUUUGCGUCCGAGUCAAUAUUUGAAUCAAUCA